rnacentral:rRNA from 1 species
GGCGAGUGAAGCGGCAAAAGCUCAAAUUUGAAAUCUGGUACCUUCGGUGCCCGAGUUGUAAUUUGGAGAGGGCAACUUUGGGGCCGUUCCUUGUCUAUGUUCCUUGGAACAGGACGUCAUAGAGGGUGAGAAUCCCGUGUGGCGAGGAGUGCGGUUCUUUGUAAAGUGCCUUCGAAGAGUCGAGUUGUUUGGGAAUGCAGCUCUAAGUGGGUGGUAAAUUCCAUCUAAAGCUAAAUAUUGGCGAGAGACCGAUAGCGAACAAGUACAGUGAUGGAAAGAUGAAAAGAACUUUGAAAAGAGAGUGAAAAAGUACGUGAAAUUGUUGAAAGGGAAGGGCAUUUGAUCAGACAUGGUGUUUUGUGCCCUCUGCUCCUUGUGGGUAGGGGAAUCUCGCAUUUCACUGGGCCAGCAUCAGUUUUGGUGGCAGGAUAAAUCCAUAGGAAUGUAGCUUGCCUCGGUAAGUGUUAUAGCCUGUGGGAAUACUGCCAGCUGGGACUGAGGACUGCGACGUAAGUCAAGGAUGCUGGCAUAAUGGUUAUAUGCCGCC